AAGACCUUGCGCUUUUGGAGCGGCCGAUGUCUGAUUAGCUAGUUGGUAGGGUAAUGGCCUACCAAAGCUUCGAUCAGUAGCUGGUCUGAGAGGACGGCCAGCCACACUGGGACUGAGACACGGCCCAGACUCCUACGGGAGGCAGCAGUGGGGAAUUUUGGACAAUGGGGGCAACCCUGAUCCAGCCAUGCCGCGUGAGUGAAGAAGGCCUUCGGGUUGUAAAGCUCUUUCAGCCGGAACGAAACGGUUACGGUUAAUACCCGUGAUUACUGACGGUACCGGAAGAAGAAGCACCGGCUAACUACGUGCCAGCAGCCGCGGUAAUACGUAGGGUGCGAGCGUUAAUCGGAAUUACUGGGCGUAAAGCGUGCGCAGGUGGUUUUGUAAGUCAGAUGUGAAAGCCCCGGGCUCAACCUGGGAACU
rnacentral:rRNA from 1 species